ensembl:snRNA U6 U6 spliceosomal RNA
AUGCUCACUUUGGCAACACAUAUACUAAAAUUGGAAUGAUACAGAGGUUAGCAUGGCCCUUGCACAAGGAUGACACACAAAUUCAUGAAGGGUUCCAUAUUUUU